rnacentral:rRNA from 1 species
CCUACGGGUGGCAGCAGUAGGGAAUCUUCCACAAUGGGCGAAAGCCUGAUGGAGCAACGCCGCGUGGGUGAAGAAGGUCUUCGGAGCGUAAAACCCUGUUGUUAGAGAAGAAAGUGCGUGAGAGUAACUGUGCACGUUUCGACGGUAUCUAACCAGAAAGCCACGGCUAACUACGUGCCAGCAGCCGCGGUAAUUCGAAGGUGGCAAGCGUUAUCCGGGUUUAUUGGGCGUACAGGGAAUGCAGGCGGUCUUUUAAGUCUGAUGUGAAAGCCUUCGGCUUAACCGGAGUAGUGCAUUGGAAACUGGGAGGCUUGAGUGCAGAAGAGGAGAGUGGAACUCCAGGUGUAGCGGUGAAAUGCGUAGAUAUAUGGAAGAACACCAGUGGCGAAGGCGGCUUUCUGGUCUGUAACUGACGCUGAGGUUCGAAAGCGUGGGUAGCAAACAGGAUUAGAUACCCGGGUAGUC